rnacentral:rRNA from 1 species
GACGAACGCUGGCGGCGGGCUUAACACAUGCAAGUCGAACGGAAAGGCCCUGCUUUUGUGUGGUGCUCGAGUGGCGAACGGGUGAGUAACACGUGAGUAACCUGCCCUUGACUGUGGGAGAACUUCAGGAAACGGUGGCUAAUACCGGAUAGGAGCUCCUGCUGCAUGGUGGGGGUUGGAAAGUUUCGGCGGGUGGGGCUGGGCUCGCGGCUUAUCGGCUUGGUGGUGGGGUAGUGGCUUACCAAGGCUCUGACGGGUAGCCGGCCUGAGAGGGUGACCGGCCACAUUGGGCCUGCGAUACGGCCCAGACUCCUACGGGAGGCAGCAGUGGGGAAUAUUGCACAAUGGGCGGAAGCCUGAUGCAGCAACGCCGCGUGCGUGAUGACGGCCUUCGGGUUGUAAACCGCUUUCGCCUGUGACGAAGCGUGAGUGACGGUACUGGGUAAAGAAGCACCGGCUAACUACGUG